GCGCCCGUAGCUCAGCUGGAUCAGAGCACUAGACUACGAAUCUAGGGGUCAGAGGUUCGAAUCCUUUCGGGCGCGCCA
rnacentral:tRNA from 2 species